rnacentral:rRNA from 1 species
AACGAACGCUGGCGGCAUGCCUAACACAUGCAAGUCGAACGAGACCUUCGGGUCUAGUGGCGCACGGGUGCGUAACGCGUGGGAACCUGCCCUUAGGUUCGGAAUAACUCCCCGAAAGGGGUGCUAAUACCGGAUAAUGUCUUCGGACCAAAGAUUUAUCGCCUUUGGAUGGGCCCGCGUUGGAUUAGCUAGUUGGUAGGGUAAAAGCCUACCAAGGCGACGAUCCAUAGCUGGUCUGAGAGGAUGAUCAGCCACACUGGGACUGAGACACGGCCCAGACUCCUACGGGAGGCAGCAGUGGAGAAUAUUGGACAAUGGGCGAAAGCCUGAUCCAGCAAUGCCGCGUGAGUGAUGAAGGCCUUAGGGUUGUAAAGCUCUUUUACCCGGGAUGAUAAUGACAUUACCGGGAGAAUAAGCUCCGGCUAACUCCGUG